rnacentral:rRNA from 1 species
GUGCAUGCCUAUAGCAUAACAUUGAUGCAUCAGAUCCCAUUAAAACUCCGCAAUUAAUCCCACUCAGGCUAGAGUAGUAUUGGUAUGGGUAACCGCUUGGGAAUUCCUAGUGGUUUACAUG